AUUGAACGCUUGCGGCAUGCUUUACACAUGCAAGUCGAACGGUCCCCUUGUAAGCUGACGAGUGGCUCCCUUUGUGGUUGUGCAUCGGAACGUGCCCGGUCGUGGGGGAUAACGCAGCUCUUGCUGCGCUAAUACCGCAUACGAACUUUUGUGGAAAGCGGGGGACCGUAAGGCCCUCCUUGAUCGGAGCGGCCGAUGUCAGAUUAGGUAGUUGGUGGGGUAAAGGCUCACCAAGCCAACGAUCUGUAACUGGUCUGAGAGGACGACCAGCCACACUGGGACUGAGACACGGCCCAGACUCCUACGGGAGGCAGCAGUGGGGAAUUGUGGACAAUGGGCGAAAACCUGAUCCAUCAAUGCCGCGUGCAGGAAGAAGGCCUUCGGGUUACACACUGCUUUUGUACGGAGCGAAAAGGUCUCCUCUAAUACAGGGGGCUCAUGACGGUACCGUAAGAAUAAGCACCGGCUAACUACGAACCAGCCGCCGCCGUAA
rnacentral:rRNA from 1 species